rnacentral:rRNA from 1 species
AUUGAACGCUGGCGGCAGGCCUAACACAUGCAAGUCGAGCGGAUGAAGGGAGCUUGCUUCUGGAUUCAGCGGCGGACGGGUGAGUAAUGCCUAGGAAUCUGCCUGGUAGUGGGGGAUAACGUCCGGAAACGGGCGCUAAUACCGCAUACGCCCUGAGGGAGAAAGUGGGGGAUCUUCGGACCUCACGCUAUCAGAUGAGCCUAGGUCGGAUUAGCUAGUUGGUGGGGUAAAGGCCUACCAAGGCGACGAUCCGUAACUGGUCUGAGAGGAUGAUCAGUCACACUGGAACUGAGACACGGUCCAGACUCCUACGGGAGGCAGCAGUGGGGAAUAUUGGACAAUGGGCGAAAGCCUGAUCCAGCCAUGCCGCGUGUGUGAAGAAGGUCUUCGGAUUGUAAAGCACUUUUAUUUGGGAGGAAGGGCAGUAAGUUAAUACCUUGCUGUUUUGACGUUACCAACAGAAUAAGCACCGGCUAACUUCGUG